UCUAGUGAUCAUACGGAAUCCAC
rnacentral:siRNA from 1 species